GCCCUCUCAGGGUCUCAUCUGGAGAGCUUCCAGUACUCUACCAGUCACGACUACCGGAGAGAUAAUCGAGCAGAGGCCUACCCAUUCCAUUCCUAGCUUGGGCAGCGGCUAGCGAGUGGAAGGCAAUCUGCUACAAGU